UUGCUAAUAGAGUCAUAAAGUCAAACUAAUAUGCGACAGUAUUGAACAUAUGAACAAACAGUAUUUGUGCCACAUACUGUUUCAAAUUGUGCACUUCCGUUAUUUUUGAUAGUUAUAGCACCUGAAUGAGGUAAAUAUUAUAACUUGAUUUUGUAUUUGAUGAGUCUCCCAGAGGUUAAGCAGUUUGUCCAACUCACACAGUAAAUGACCAGCAAGUAUAGUGGAGUCAAAAUUGAGAUCCAGAUCAUUCCACCACCACAUGGCCUAUUGAAGUCAGACUCAACAGCCAGCUGGGAUUAGAAGUAACUGAAGUGAAAACAAUGUCCUCACUUUUGAGACACAGCAAGAAGACGGCUUGUCCUCCACACCAGAGUGCUUCUCAGGAAGUUAAGCAUCUCCACUAGCUCACCAAGAAAGAAGUGACUCUGACAGUCCAAUGAGGAUUUUUGUCCUUGGAAUCUACUGUCUUUCUCAUUGCUUCCAGACAAUCCUUCCUCUAAAUACUGUGGUGAUUAGAGGACUGUCUCUUCACGGCUCAGGUCACUUGGGGCUUUAUGCCACCAACAACUUUCAGAUGAGUUCAGAUGGGAAGAACUCUGAGUGGUGCAGGACUCCCCAUGGUGUCCCUGACUUGAGAGUCUGCCCAUCGAUGGUAUACAAGUGAUCGUUACUUCCUUCCAUCUCAAAGAUACUAUCAAGCAAUCUGUUUUUACACCAGAAUUACCAAAACAAAGUUAUGAACAUAAAGAUUCUGAACAUAGGAUGGAGAAAGGAAAAUUCUGUAUUAAAUCAGCUGAUUUCUUUAGUAGGUUCUAAAUGCCUUAGAGACUGAGCAUUGGCUUACCUGUAGGUACUGUAGCUAGACAAUAAAAUUUGCUUUUUGCAGACUAUAAUUUCUAUAACCAAGAUGAAAAAGCAUGUUGCGUUUGCCUUCAUUUUUAGACCAUUGAACCAUGUGUCUUUGGUCAACUUCUCGUUAACAGUUUUCUCCCAUUUUUCAAUUAAUGUAAGAUAAUAUGCUGAUGGAGCUUUCCAGGUGGUGCUAGUGGUAAAGAACCUGUCUGCCAAAGCAGGAGACGUAAGAAACUUUGGUUUGAUCCCUGAGUCAGAAAGAUCCUCCCUGGUGAAAGAAAUGGCAACCCACUCCAGUAUUCCUGCAUGGAGAAUCCCAUGGGCAGAGGAGCCUGGUGGGCUACAGUCCAUGGAGUCCCAAGAGGUGGACCCGACUGAGCGACUAACACUCACAUUCACAGAGUAGACUUAAAAGCUUUCAAGAAAACAAGAAUGCAGUGGUUCUCAACCUUGUGUGUCCAUUGUAAUGACUUGAGGGGCUUUAAAAGGUACUGGUAUUUGAGUCCUUCUUCAGAAAUCUCUGAUUUAAUUUGUCUGGAGUGGGACCUGUGCCUAGGAAUUUUUGUGAAGCUUUCCUUUGGAAGCUUCCUACCUACAAUAUGCUGUCAGAGUUAAGAACCAUUAAUCUAGUCUUUAGUCUUCAAACCUUGGUUCCCUGUAGAUGAAAGUUACAGUGAAAGUGUUAGUUGCUCAGUCUUGUCUUAGCCAUGACUCUUUGCAACCCUGCAGCCCUCCAGGCUCUUUGUCCAUGGGAUUUUCCUGACAAGAAUACUUCCUGUAGAUAAUUGGAAAACUAAAUAUGGAAUAUAUAUCUAGUUUAGGUCAGUUCAGUCACUCAGUCAUGUCCGACUCUUUACAACCCCAUGAUCUGCAGCAUGUCAGGCUUCCCUGUCCAUCACCAAUUCCCGGAGCUUGCUCAAGCUCAUGUCUAUUGCGUCGGUGAUGCUAUCCAACCAUCUCAUCCUCUGUCGUUCCCUUCUCCUCCUGCCUACAGUCUUCCCCAACGUCAGGGUCUUUUCCAGUGAGUCAGCUCUUUCCAUCAGGUGGCCAAAUGUUGGAGUUUCAGCUUCAGCAUCAGUCCUUCCAGUGAAUAUUCAAGACUGAUCUCCUUUAGGAUGGACUGGUUGGAUCUCCUUGCAGUCCAAGGGAUAUAAAAGUUUACUCUUAUAAAAUUUAGAAAAUUAUUCACAUUAGUCACAUUAGCCACCUAAAUUAGUGUUAAUGUUAUAUUUUUCUUUCUAGUCCUUUUAAAAUUAUAUAUAUAGGUCUCUCUCUAUAUAUAUAUUAUUAGGUCUAUAUAUAGACCUAUAUAUAUACUUUUAAAAGCGAAUUUGUGAUCAUGUUGAAAAUUAAUCUUUCAAGUUAAUUAUAUAAUAGGAAUUUCUUCAUGUUUACAAAUAUGCUCAGAAAAUGUUAUCAGUAUUGCUUUUUUUAAAAACUAUUUCAAGUAGUGCUACAGUGAAUAUUUUUGUACAUAGAGUUGAUUUUUAGAGAAUUAAAAAUAUCUAUGCUUGAGUAUGACUGAAAACCAUAGCCUUGUGUACGAUGGUAUAUAUAGAAAACAAUGUAUUCUAUAUAAGACUUUGAAAAUCUAUUAUGAAAUCAUUUUAUAAACAAUUGAAAAAUCUUGAUUGGUGGUAUUUGGUUGACAAUGCAUAAAAUGUUGUAAAACCUAUUAAAUAAAAGUGUUACUCUUCUUACCCUUUCCUUUUGGAAUGGCAAAAUCUCAUUUUCAGCCUGAACAAGCACUGUCAAUAAAUGUAAGAAAGCUUGAUGAGAGCCUUGGGGUUAGCAUGUCAAGCAAACUGCAGGUUCUUUUGGCAUAAUAGUUGUUUGGGGAUGUUCUUAAGACAAACUGAGCAGCUUUGAGUGGUAGGAGAAAAUAUAUUCUCUACAGAUAAUUUAGAAAUAUCCUUAGUUGAUCUCUUCAUGAAGUAAGAGAUCUCUUCAUGAAAUGUAAUAAGAUCUCUUCAUGAAAUAAUUUAUUUUAAAAUGUUGCAAUAUUAUGGUAUUGUACUGAGUUUCAAAUAAGAAAUAUAAAUGAUGUCACCUCCACCCACCAGGAGGGUAUGCUUUGCAUGUUUGUGCACAUGGCCUGGCUCUCCUUUGUCAGGUACAAAGGCUGGAUUAUGGUUUUUGCCUUUCCAGGGCUGAAAACCAAGACUCAAGAUCAAGAUUAAACUAAUCCAGAUCUUUUUUUUUUUUUUUUGGAACGUGAUUUUUAAAGAGGUGAAACAGUUUCCCCCCAAGCCACAUUAUUCUGUGUCAGAACUGAGACUUGCAUUUGAAGGCUUGAGUUUGCCUCGUUUCCUCUCCCCACCACUUAGACGGAGGUUCAGAAGUCUCUUUCCUUUAUUUGAUAAUCCAAAUAGUAAUUUAGAUGAGAAAAGUUGUCCAUUUUUAAAUGACUUUUGCCUUAUUAGAAAAACCUGUGAAAAUGACUACUGAAAUGUUGUAUACAUUUCCAAAGAUGUACAAAAAUAAAAAUGAACAGAGAUGAUACCAAAGUUGUAGCAAGUCGAAAGGAUUAAUCAUUUCAUAUUUCUCCUUAAAAACUAUGUCAAGCCAAUAUGUUUUUAAUGUUAUAUUGAUUUUUAUUUUAGUUCGAUCCUUUAUUUUUAGCUUAUUAGUCAUACUCAGACAGCUCUUAAAUGCAAAAUCCUUAGAUGUGGGUGGCAGAGAGACAU
ensembl:lincRNA